CCUUCUCUCAGCUAACUUCUACAGCUCAGUUCUCUAAGCUUCAAAUUGGCCAAAGACAAAAAAAAAGACGUGCUUUUGGGCAAUAUGUCAGAAUCAAUUUCUCUGUGUUGAUCAGACCCAACAAAUGUUGUCGAAGAGAAUAUUUCGCAUUCAAUUGAGAAAGUCAUCCUGGAAAAACUCUAAUGUUACUCAGUCAAGUCUAACAAUUCUGUCCUACACAUCAAAAGAACAUGUACCUCUACCGGUCACUAGCGAGAGAAACAUUAAAAAGGUCAAAUUGUUCGAUGCUAACGAGGUAGAGAUGAAUGAGAUAUUUGUUGAAUCUGAGUGUUUCAUCAGCGGUGCCUCAAUUGAACCAACCACACCAAUAAAGAGUCUGUGAAAGGUUAGUGAAUCUAUCGGUGAAGUUAGACAGAGUAGUCGAUCUUUAUUCCUUUCUAAAAGGAUGUUAAAAUUAACUUGACAAGAACUAGUAUGAGCUUACUAAAUAUGGUAUGCCUAUUUAAUUCUGAUUAUAACAUAAUAAGGGGUCAAAAACGGAAGAAUUGUAAGGCUUGCUUAGAUAAGUGAUUUUAAGAAUUUAUUCUCUUCUUAGAGCUACCAGUCCAUUACAACACAUGGUAUUUUCCCUAACAAUCAGUGAUAAGGAAUUAAGUGAAAUUAAAAGAAGCAGACUCCAUAACUGAUAGAACUAGGUCUGGAACAGUAAUUGAAAUUUAGUUUGUCUUAGCAAGUCCUCCUAAGUUAUUUCAGUCAUUAUUUAUAUUGAUCUUACAUUAAUUAGAUUCAUAUUAGUCUUUCGACCUCUAUUUCGAAGGCUUAUUAGUUCAUUAUAUGCUUUUCAAAUUCAGUUAGACUACAUAAUGUUAAGUGUUCUGAAGGUCUAUUACUUGAAAAAAAAAUUCACUCAAUUGUGUCAAGGCAAACAUGUCAAAGAAUAAAGUAUAGCUAAUGGUUGUUUUAAAGCUUCAUUUAUAUAUUUUCUUGUAUCUGAACACCUUCAUUUACCUUCUUCAAAUAAAUAUUCGAUCUAUAAAAAUAAUAAAGUUCAUAUAUUUAUAUAAGGAUAUUACGCUGACUAUUUGUAGCAUGUGCGUUUUUCAAUAAUUUGCAGCAAUAGAAAAUAGUAAUGUCCUCAUGGGUACAUUGAAUAGUGAAUAAGCUAGGAUAUGCUCAGAAUGUCUACAGCCGUCAAGUAGUAUUUUUAAGUUUUUUGCUUCUAUAUCAAAGUAUACUCUGUGUUGACUAUAUUUGAGUUCUUAUGGGCAAGUAUACAAAAUCAACUAGGAAGUUU